GAAAUGUCGAAUCAUUCUAUCUUUCUGAAAUUUUGCUGUAAAAUGUUCAUUGUUUAAACAGUUUUUACGGCACAUGUUCAUCUGAUAAUAUGCACAAUCAAAGAGAAAAAAUUGUUUUUUUCAAUACAAAUAUUAUAUAUUAGAAAUUAUAUAUAUUAUUAUAAAUGGAUACAGCAUUAUAUACAACUUUGAUAUAAGUUUAUUAUAGUAGAAAUCCUUCUACUGUGGUAUUGUUUCCGAUGGGUUAAAGAAAAAACUAGAUACUAUAUGUACCAAUAAAGAGAGAAAACCAUGGAAAAUUCAAGUAUAUGAUAAGAAAUUAAUUAUAUAGUGCGAAGAAAAAAUUGUACGCCGCUGUAAGUUGAACUUGUCGCCAUCCAAAGUCGCCACCGGAAACAUAGAAAAUAACCUAACAGACCGGAACUAAGGCAGUGAUGCCACUUCUACCGAUUUUUCGGUAGAUCUACCGAUUUGGCAAUCUAUCUACCGAUCUACCGAAAAGGCUAUAUUUUCUACCGAUUUUCAUUCUUCGGAAUAUUUAGUGUCAUAGAUAUUAAAAAAGAAUGUUGUAAUAAAAUUUGUACGAAAUA